AUGGAGUUUUGCUGUGGGCGGAGAUCGGCUUUGACGGUUUCGUCAGAAGAGGUUGGAGCGGCAAGGCGGAAAAACAGUGGCGACAGAUCAGAGAUUGAGGCGUCUGACAGUGAUGUUGGAUGGCAGUGGAAAGUUUGGAUAAAGCAUGAUAUGGGCAGUUGGGAAGAAUUUCAUGGUAUGGAGAUUUUGGAUCAAAGCACUAGCAUGGAAGCAACCCUAGAAGCAUGA